GCACAAGCGGUGGAGCAUGUGGUUAAUUCGAUGCAACGCGAAGAACCUUACCUAGACUUGACAUCCCGGGAAUCCUUAGGAACUAAGGAGUGCCUUUCGGGGAGCCCGGAGACAGGUGCUGCAUGGCUGUCGUCAGCUCGUGUCGUGAGAUGUUGGGUUAAGUCCCGAAACGAGCGCAACCCCUAUUCUAUGUUACAAGUGUCUUAGAAAACCGCCUCGGUAAAACGAGGAGGAAGGUGGGGGAUGACGUCUGGUCCGCGUAGCCCUUAUGUCCUGGGCUACACACGCGCUACAAUGGCCGAUACAGUAGGAAGCCAAAUCGUAAGAUGGAGCUAAUCCUUAAAGUCGGUCUCAGUUCGGAUUGAGGUCUGAAAUUCGACCUCAUGAAGUUGGAUUUGCUAGUAAUCGUAGAUCAGCAAUGCUACGGUGAACUACGUUCUCGGGUCCUU
rnacentral:rRNA from 1 species